ensembl:lincRNA
CCUGGGCCUUGGGGAGUCUACACAGCUUUCUUCCUCUCCCCAGACACUUCCAAAGUAAAAACCUGAAACAGUACAACUAAGGAAUCAUCAGCUAUCAGACACAUACGUAUUCAGCCACUAUUUAUUGAGCACCUACUAUGUGCCAGGCUGGUGACCAAGGAGAGACAUGGUCCCUGCUCUCGAAGGCUUGCAGUCCAUUGGAAGAUGUCAACACCCCUCCAUCCCCCCCAGGUCAGGGCUCUGGCAGAAAGAUGCCUGACCCAGCUGGAAGGAGGUGAGAGAGGACAGAGGGAACGGCGAGGGCAAAGGCUCUUGGCGGAAGGCAGCAAGGGAAGUGGGGGGCCCUCGGUGUGGUGGGGCAAAAUGAGAAUCAGACGGGAGCCCAGGGUGAGGCCCUGCAGGUCCCCAGGGGUUCUGAGUCGCUCCCUGACAGCUUAACGGGAAGGGCAGCCCUCCCCACAGUCACAGAAGUGCACGAUUCCCAGUCCACGCCCCUUUCUGGUCUGUGUGCCUUCUAGAACACUGGACACUGUGGGGGCCCAGGGCUGGGUGGAUGGACAGAUGCUGCUGCUCGCGGCCAUUCAGGCAGGGCCUGCAAGGAAGGGCUGUGCAUCCUAAUGAGCCUGCCCCACCUGUCCUCUCUCUGCAGUCUCCGAAGAGGAGCAGAUGGGGCUGUGGGCAGGUGGGGCUUAGCUCCCACUUGAAUCCCUAGGGGUGGUCAAGGACUCUGAGCAGCCACUCAGUCCCGGGGGGAGGGGGGUGCUGCCCACUCCCCAUCAGCUCCCCGCUGAGGGCUGAGGCAGGGCCCAAAGGCUCUCACAGCCAAAAGAAGAGUCCUGACCCAGUGCCCAAGGACCCCACCCCCAGGGACCCGGGCUUCCUGUGCAGCCUCCUCGGAGAGGGAGGAAGAAGUGCCCUCACACUGUCCUCUGUCUCUCUCGGCCACCCCGGAGGCCCAGGAGGCCAGCCUCCAUCCUCAAGCGGGCCCAGUCCCAGCACCCACAUCCUUGCCUCAGGGAGCGCCUGGCCUGAUGGCAACGCAGGACGCGUGACCCGGCACCCUCUCCGCCCACACUGCCCUCUUCCCCAGGGCAGCCCUUGUUCUGGCCCUGAGCAGGGUCCAGGGUGGGAGAGGCUGACCCAGAACAGAGGCUGCAGGAGCCAAGUCCAAGGCACCAGCCGCAGGGACUAAGAAUGAAAGCAGGAUCCCGGCAGACCCCAGGCCUGUGCCCUCAGUUCUCAUGGUCUAGAGACAAAGCCACCUGACAGCGGCCACACGCAGGCCUCCACCUCUGGCCUCCUCUCACUCAUUGAUGGGUUUGCUUGUUUACUGUCCAACCCCACACAAGACCAGAAGCUCCACGGCGUUUGCACUCCCGGCCUAGGGCAACCCUAGGCUCACAGUCAGCGGCUGGUAAAUAUUUACUGAGCACUUGCUAUGUGCCAAGCCUUGUUCCAGGCAUGCGGGCCACAUCAGGGAACAAAACCGUCAUGGCCCCUGCCCAGGUAGAGCUUCCAUUCCGAAGAUGAAGAAACGUCAGCCAUGGGAGCAGAGAGGAAAGUUUCUGGAAUUGCCAGCAGAGCAGGAAAAAUUUCAUCUUCAGAUGUCGAUGGACUGAAUCUGCACUCAGCACUGAGCCUUGAACCAUGGGUCCAGGUGCACGCGGACGGAACCGAGUGUAUUCACAGCUUUGCAAACCUACCCCCACUCUCCCAGCUGCCUUAUGUCCCUCCCAGGCCUGAGCCUUCCUGAGUCCUGGAGCCUGGGAUGCCCACCCUGCUCUGGGUUGGGCUAAGUCUGACCCUUCCCUCCCAGAACUAAGGCAAGGCCCCGAAGCUCCAGGAAACCUCCCUGCACGGCUCAGUGCCCUGGCGGCGGGGGCUCCUCUGUGCUCCCCCAUCACCCAGUGCUGUCGUUGUGAAUUGGCUCAGCCUGCCUACUGAUCUCAACCGUCCCCAGCUUGAGGGCAGCUCUGAGCCAGGCGGCUCCCAGGGCCCAGCACGGCUUAGGAGCGCCCUCAACGUUACGGGAUCAUAGUGGAUAACAAAUGGACACCAGCAGUCCUUGACCGACAGAACGAACCGUCCGGGGCCAGGAUUGCACACCACCAGCCUGAGAAGAAAUCGCGCCCACA